rnacentral:rRNA from 1 species
GGGUUGUGAGGUUAAGUGACUAAGCGUACACGGUGGAUGCCUAGGCAGUCAGAGGCGAUGAAGGGCGUGCUAAUCUGCGAAAAGCGUCGGUAAGGUGAUAUGAACCGUUAUAACCGGCGAUACCCGAAUGGGGAAACCCAGUGUGUUUCGACACACUAUCAUGUCAUGAAUACAUAGUGGCAUGAGGCGAACCGGGGGAACUGAAACAUCUAAGUACCCCGAGGAAAAGAAAUCAACCGAGAUUCCCCCAGUAGCGGCGAGCGAACGGGGAGGAGCCCAGAACCUGAAUCGGCUUGUGUGUUAGUGGAAGCGUCUGGAAAGUCGCGCAGCAAAGGGUGAUAGCCCCGUACACUAAAAUGCACAGGUCGUGAGUUCGAUGAGUAGGGCGGGACACGUGACAUCCUGUCUGAAUAUGGGGGGACCAUCCUCCAAGGCUAAAUACUCCUGACUGACCGAUAGUGAACCAGUACCGUGAGGGAAAGGCGAAAAGAACCCCGGCGAGGGGAGUGAAAUAGAACCUGAAACCGUGUACGUACAAGCAGUGGGAGCACCUUCGUGGUGUGACUGCGUACCUUUUGUAUAAUGGGUCAGCGACUUAUAUUUUGUAGCAAGGUUAACCGUAUAGGGGAGCCGUAGGGAAACCGAGUCUUAACUGGGCGACUAGUUGCAAGGUAUAGACCCGAAACCCGGUGAUCUAGCCAUGGGCAGGUUGAAGGUUGGGUAACACUAACUGGAGGACCGAACCGACUAAUGUUGAAAAAUUAGCGGAUGACUUGUGGCUGGGGGUGAAAGGCCAAUCAAACCGGGAGAUAGCUGGUUCUCCCCGAAAGCUAUUUAGGUAGCGCCUCGUGAACUCAUCUUCGGGGGUAGAGCACUGUUUCGGCUAGGGGGCCAUCCCGGCUUACCAAACCGAUGCAAACUCCGAAUACCGAAGAAUGUUAUCACGGGAGACACACGGCGGGUGCUAACGUCCGUCGUGAAGAGGGAAACAACCCAGACCGCCAGCUAAGGUCCCAAAGUCAUGGUUAAGUGGGAAACGAUGUGGGAAGGCAUAGACAGCCAGGAUGUUGGCUUAGAAGCAGCCAUCAUUUAAAGAAAGCGUAAUAGCUCACUGGUCGAGUCGGCCUGCGCGGAAGAUGUAACGGGGCUAAACCAUGCACCGAAGCUGCGGCAGCGACGCUUAGGCGUUGUUGGGUAGGGGAGCGUUCUGUAAGCCGUUGAAGGUGGCCUGUGAGGGUUGCUGGAGGUAUCAGAAGUGCGAAUGCUGACAUAAGUAACGAUAAAGCGGGUGAAAAGCCCGCUCGCCGGAAGACCAAGGGUUCCUGUCCAACGUUAAUCGGGGCAGGGUGAGUCGACCCCUAAGGCGAGGCUGAAAAGCGUAGUCGAUGGGAAACAGGUUAAUAUUCCUGUACUUGGUGUUACUGCGAAGGGGGGACGGAGAAGGCUAGGCUAGCCGGGCGACGGUUGUCCCGGUUUAAGCGUGUAGGGGGUGUGACCUGGUAAAUCCGGUUGCAUAUCAACCCUGAGGCGUGAUGACGAUGCACUACGGUGCAGAAGUAGUUGAUGCCCUGCUUCCAGGAAAAUCCUCUAAGCUCCAGGUAACAUUAAAUCGUACCCCAAACCGACACAGGUGGUCAGGUAGAGAAUACCAAGGCGCUUGAGAGAACUCGGGUGAAGGAACUAGGCAAAAUGGUGCCGUAACUUCGGGAGAAGGCACGCUGGCAUGUAGGUGAAGUCCCUCGCGGAUGGAGCUGAAGCCAGUCGAAGAUACCAGCUGGCUGCAACUGUUUAAUAAAAACACAGCACUGUGCAAACACGAAAGUGGACGUAUACGGUGUGACGCCUGCCCGGUGCUGGAAGGUUAAUUGAUGGGGUCAGCCGCAAGGCGAAGCUCUUGAUCGAAGCCCCAGUAAACGGCGGCCGUAACUAUAACGGUCCUAAGGUAGCGAAAUUCCUUGUCGGGUAAGUUCCGACCUGCACGAAUGGCGUAAUGAUGGCCAGGCUGUCUCCACCCGAGACUCAGUGAAAUUGAACUCGCUGUGAAGAUGCAGUGUACCCGCGGCAAGACGGAAAGACCCCGUGAACCUUUACUAUAGCUUGACACUGAACAUUGAGCCUUGAUGUGUAGGAUAGGUGGGAGGCUUUGAAGCGUGGACGCCAGUCUGCGUGGAGCCAUCCUUGAAAUACCACCCUUUAAUGUUUGAUGUUCUAACUCGGCCCCGUGAUCCGGGGUGAGGACAGUGUCUGGUGGGUAGUUUGACUGGGGCGGUCUCCUCCCAAAGAGUAACGGAGGAGCACGAAGGUUAGCUAAUCACGGUCGGACAUCGUGAGGUUAGUGCAAAGGCAUAAGCUAGCUUGACUGCGAGAGUGACGGCUCGAGCAGGUACGAAAGUAGGUCUUAGUGAUCCGGUGGUUCUGAAUGGAAGGGCCAUCGCUCAACGGAUAAAAGGUACUCCGGGGAUAACAGGCUGAUACCGCCCAAGAGUUCAUAUCGACGGCGGUGUUUGGCACCUCGAUGUCGGCUCAUCACAUCCUGGGGCUGAAGUAGGUCCCAAGGGUAUGGCUGUUCGCCAUUUAAAGUGGUACGCGAGCUGGGUUUAGAACGUCGUGAGACAGUUCGGUCCCUAUCUGCCGUGGGCGUUGGAAGAUUGAGAGGGGUUGCUCCUAGUACGAGAGGACCGGAGUGAACGCACCACUGGUGUUCGGGUUGUCAUGCCAAUGGCAUUGCCCGGUAGCUAAGUGCGGAAAAGAUAAGCGCUGAAAGCAUCUAAGCGCGAAACUUGCCUCAAGAUGAGUCUUCCCUGGGCCUUUAAGGCCCCUGAAGGAACGUUUAAGACUAAGACGUUGAUAGGCUGGGUGUGUAAGUGCAGCGAUGCAUUGAGCUAACCAGUACUAAUGAUCCGUGAGGCUUAACCUUACAACACCGAAGGUGUUU